rnacentral:lncRNA from 1 species
CUCCUAAAAGCCACUGCAUCAGAAGCCUUGGGAGUGAGUCCCAGGAAUCUGCACAAAACAGGAUUCUACUGUCCUGUUGGUGUGUGGGUGUGACCUCAGACCAGCAGCACCAGCAUUGCCUGUGAGCUUGUUACAAAUGCCAAUUUUGGUCCCACUCAAGCAUGGAAAAUCAGCAUUGCUGGGAAGGUGGCCCAGGAAACUGUCCUAACAAGCCGGCCACAGGAAAGUUUGAGAGCUGCUGGCCCAGUGGCAAGGAUUCCUGACUCUUAAAGCCCAUCUGAUGUGGGUUUGAAGCCAGCUUCUAACACAUAUUCCUGUGUGGCCAUGGACAGCAGCUUUAAACAACAAAGAUUCACAAAUAGUUCUUCAUAUUUGACGUAAAUGUAAAGUCUGUCAAUUCCUGAGCCUGCAUAUUUUGCAAAAAUAUCAUGCAUCAGCAUCUUCAUUCUAGUUUGGAACGGAUUCAGGAAAAUGUCCUUGGCUCCAAAAUAGGUUUAAAUGAGGUUUGGACGCUCCAGGAGGGGAGCUUGGCUCCAACUUCGUUUCCCUUUGCCACUUCCAGGUAAGGAGGGAGAUCUGUGGGCAUCGGGGCCUUAAAAGGCCUGGGCCUAUAAAUAAACAGAGAAAGCUACAUUUUUCCAUGCUACCUGGCCCUGAAUUUUUUGUACAAACAGAGAUACAUUGUCUGAAAGUAACAUAAAAAAGUCAAAAGUGAAAAGCAAGAAAAACAGAGUGAGGAAAAAAGGUCUGCCUCGCUUGGGGAGUCUUGCUCAACUUGGGGCUGUUACCCUGCCAAGGUUUAUAGCCCUGUGCACUCUUGUUUCCGGGCUGCCUUGGGUUUCAGGAACCUGUGGACUCCAGAGAUAAAACAGGAGGCUGGCUUCCAUGGGUUUUCGCAAGUUCCUGUGUAAUCCUACCCAAGAAUUUUAUCUGAGUCUUCCAGUGAUGACAUGCGUGUGUGCAUUCAGUGGUGACGUAUAUGGCAUCCCAUGGCCUGCUAGACCCAGAGCGAUGGAGCCUCUGACUACCUCUUGUCUCCUGUUCUGUCCUCUCACCAUGCGCAAGCAGCAUGCCUCACUGUCUGUUCCCCAGGCCUGCCAUGCUCAGGGCAGUCCUCAAGCCUUUGCUUUCGCAGUGUCCUUGGCUUGGAACCCUUCCCCUCAGCUAUUCGCAUGGCUCUUGAUUCUCCCAAGAGGGCUUUCCUCACCACUGUAGCUCACAUAGCCCCUCUCUGCAAUCUCUCUCCUCUUACUGUGCUUUAUUUUUCUUCAUAGCACUCAUCUCAACUUGCCAUAUAUAUAUUUUUGUUUGUUUCUCUGUCUUCUCUGUUAGAAAGUAAUCUUGAUGGAGCAAGGAAUUUCUUUUGUUCCUUGCUUUCAACUCAGUGCCUAGAGACUGGUACACAGCGAGUGUUUAAUGAAUAUAUGCUAUGUAAAUAAACAGAUGAAUGCAUGAAUGUGUUCCUGAUGUAGUAAUUUUGAUUUGGGUGAUGUAUCAUACUUGUAUUACUUGGGUAUGACUCUAUCCAAGAAUUUUACCUGGC